GGAGUGAAGAGAAACGAGAGCCUGGCUGCAGGGGUCACGAGGCCCACACCUGAGCUGGUCAGGUUCCUCAACACCUGCUGACUUCCUGUUUCUGUGAGCCACUGUGGGAGGCUGAUGUUCAGGAGACAAAACAAAGCUGCAUGGGGUAGAGGCAGUCAGAGCACAGCGGCACCCAGUGGCUGAGCACCACUGCAUGGGGCUCAAGCCCCUGCUCUGUGGGGGAAGCGAGUCAGUGUCGCGGUAACAGGGAGCAGAGGCUGACUAUCUUGCUAUCUCUGAGACGAAUGCAGGCCCGCCAUGCUGGCUGAGAAGUGGAACUCGAUCUGGACUCUUCACCUGGCAGGGUGUAGCUGGAGCACUGGGGACCCUCGGGAGUGACUGGUAGAGUUUGGUAGACACUGGCAUGACUGUGCCACCCUGGAAGGGCUGAGGUCAGUGACAGCCUUCCAGCCACAGCCACCUGGGAGGGACACGCUGGCCACUGCCCUGGGAUCUCCAGUCGAUCCUUCCUCUGCUUGUGUCAGAACCAGAAACCAUGGGGCAGGACUAUGGACUGUAUUCACGGUGGUGAGCAAGCCCUGCUGGACGGAAAGCUUACAAUCUGGAUCAUCUGGCCCAAAUCUGACCAGGCUGGGCUCAGCUUGGGGGUGCUGGGUCCCUGGCCACCAGUCAGUCUGUAGGCUCUAAGCACUUCCAGUGGUACCCUGGCACCACAUGCAGGCUGCAUAAGGAUGGGCUGCUCUUUCUCCUGCUCAUCCUGCUCUGCUAAGCCCAGCGUGAGGAGCAGAGGGACUUGGCACAGCGGAUGCCAACACUAAUGGCUGUGAGGAGACCAUGUAAUACCAUGCUACGUGGUACUACAGGCCCCAGUGCCAGAGGUGUGCAUUCAGGCUCCGGAAUCACCCUUCUGGAGCUGCUCAAUGAUGGCCACAUCCCGGCUCCCACUGUGGCCCCUGACCACUGAAGAGAGACCAGAAGGAACAUAGGAAGGAAACAAGGCACCACAUAUCUGCUGCUGGGGUGCGUCGUACGAAGACCCUUCCUCUGAGAACGGUGGGGAGUUUAAAAGGACGCCUCUGUGUGGCAGUAUCUCGGCUCUUCACCUCUACCCACACAUCUUCCCUCAAGCCUGACUGAAUAAAGCAAAGAUGCGCCUCCCAGGCGGCCCUCCA